GGGGCGGGGCCGCAGGGACAGGCGGGCUGCGAUUGGGCGGAGGCGCUCGAGUGCUGAUUGGGCAGCGCUGCCGGCCCGCGGUAUAGAAGGGCCGGCGGGGCAGGUGCGGGCGGUUGUGUGUGAGGGCUGAGGGUGCGGCCCCGCUGCUGCCCGGGCUGCGGAGGGGAGAGCGCCUUGGCCGCUGGGUUUAUGGACCGGGGGAGCCGGGGGGCGUUUAGGGGCGCCUUGUGCUGGGCGGCGGGGGCCGGGUAAGCGCGUUACCUGCCGGGUGCCCCCGGGGGGAGCCGUGGCAGGGCUGCGGGGCUGGUGCUCUCUGGGUGUCUCAGGUUUUGCUUUGGAAUCCCAAAGCCUUUCCCCGUGCAGGGUUACGAGGCAAAGACUGGUCUCAGUUUCUUGGUGCUACAUUAAUGCUUUUUGCUCCUUUUCUGUCCAGUUGUGCCCUCAGUUGGGGCUCAGCUCAGUUCAGUGCCCAGCGGCUGGUGGAGUGUGGCGAGUUGUGCUUCCUGCCGGGCGGGAGCUGCCUUGGGAAGCUGCUCUGUACCCACGGCUGUGCCGAGCCCGGGAGUUCACACAGCAGGGUGUCGAGUGCCACCGUGUCCCUGAGGUCACCCUUUCUGCUGUUGGGAGAGCACGAGGUGGAUGGAGAGGAUCCCCAGGCAUCUGCAGGCCCAAGGGACUCGUACAGCUGUGAUUUUCCUACAGCCCUUGUAAGAUAGACUUUGAGGGUACCAUGGGUAAUGUGCCAGCUCUCCUGGUGGAGUUUUUGUCUUCUGCUGUAACUGAACAUAAAGAGAAAAACUAAAGUCAGGGAAUAACUCCUGUCAGCAG